rnacentral:rRNA from 1 species
AACUACAGCCAUGCCACCCUUAACAAGCCCGAUUCCGUCUGAUCUCGGAAGCUAAGCAGGGUCGGGCCUGGUUAGUACUUGGAUGGGAGACCACCUAGGAAGACCAGGUGCUCUAGGCA